CUAGAUUUUAGACACAAACAUAGAAACCUUUAAACCAUCUCUGAAAUGGCCUUGCCUCUAUUUUAUUCCCCCCCCUUGACUGUUCCUUCCUAGUCUGUCCUUAAUGUGUAUUUUUAACAUUGCCCGCCUUAAUUUUUUAAUGAUUCUUCAUGCCGCUGGAUUUUUUUUCAUGAUAUUGCCUUCAAGUUACUGAAAGGUGAGUAUUACGUUAAAAUUAUACUUGACAAAGGAAGUGGAGAUUCCGUAAGCUCCACCCAUUAAGAUUUGUUAAGCGUUGGAAAGCUACAUGAGACAAAAGUAGUCUCCUAAAGAGAAAUUGAUCAGAAAAGAUUUAGAAAUUGGAAGAGAAGUGGAAACAAUUUGAGAAAGGCAAGUUUGGG